GUCUGGCCACAGCUACUUUCCUGCGCUGUGAAACUCACAUAUGAGACAGGUUCAAGAUGACUGACUAAAAGCAGCUAGUGUGUACCACUCUCUCGGAGGAGACAGAGUGGUGAAUACACACUAGCUCUUAAAGUGGAUUGCCCAGGAGACCACGCUGCGAUUCAUUAAGGAAACAAUGACAACCCAUGGAGAGCAGAGAAGAGCAAGGCACCUACCCAGGAUUGGCAUGGAGCCAGGAGAGGCUGCCUGUCCCUUUAAAAUGGUGAGUGAGUGACAGUCCCUGGGGACCUACACUGCUGCCGUGAACCUUUGCAAGCUGAGCAUGGGAGAGCCCACCUGACCACUGUGGGCCUCCAGAGUGACACAGAAAGCUGCCUGGAGUCUGAGCAGAGCCAGCACUCAAACCCACAUUGAGUCCCAUGGGCCUUGGAUCCCUGAGCACCUUGGCACCAGCUUCUGUAGCCCUGACAACAAGGGAAGUCUGACCCUUUCACAUGCCCCUAGGAUAGGGGCUGCGUCCACAGUGCUAAGGAGUGGACAGACUUUAGGCCCCACAUCUGCUGCACAUUGCCAGGCAAGGGCCACCGGCCUGGACCCCAGCACAGCCACCCUACCACAGCUGAGGACUCCAGAUGGUCACAACUCUCCGUUUCUCUGAGCCAGAACUCCCACUGUGAUUGCCACUGUCAAGGUCCCUGCCUCUGCUUAUCUCAGGCUGGGGAGGGAGCAAACAGCCUGAAAACUGUCACAAGGCCUCCAGCACACUGCAGCUGCUGUAUUGAAAGGAAGCGAAACUGUUUUCCAUGUGCGUCCUUGCCCCUGCUGUUCCUCACUGGGCAAGGCCUCCUAGCCUGGGACCCCAGCACAGCUACCCUACCUCCACCUAAUCGCUUUAGUCAGUGACUCUGCUUUCUCUGGGGUGGAGCUCCCAAAGACAACAGAAAGGCCUUAGCAGGGUCCCCUGGCUUGGGCCUGCAGCACAGCCACCCCGCUCCUGUCUGAUCAUUCUAAUUGUCAGUGGCUCUGUGUUUCUCCUGGAACAUCUAACAAAAGAAAUGCAGGCAUAGUGCCAGCGAUCAGAGGGUGCUUCCCCAAAACCCAGGAGUGGACCUGAUGAGGGAGUGACCUCUUUGCCCAUCACAUCACAGAGCAUGGCUGCAAACAUGAGGAAAUACAAAGGAGCCACACAGCUGAAUUCACGGAAUUGACUACAUCAUAAUCAUUUGUUCCUGAUACACCGUUAUUUUUCU
rnacentral:lncRNA from 1 species